CAACAUGCUCACUCCCUUAAUCUGUCCGUCUAGAGGUUUGGCUUCUACAAACCAAGGUGUGGCAGAGCAUGGCGGAUCUGUGAACACAGAGUGAUGUGGCAGUUUAGAGUUAGGU
rnacentral:sRNA from 2 species